rnacentral:rRNA from 1 species
GACGAACGCUGGCGGCGUGCUUAACACAUGCAAGUCGAACGGACCUGUCUUCUUUUUUGGGGGGUGGGUUGAGUGGCGAACGGGUGAGUAUCACGUGAGUAACCUGCCCUUCGGUCCUGGAUAACCGCUUGAAAGGGCGGCUAAUACGGGGUGGUCCGGUUGGUCCGCAUGGGCUGGUCGGGAUAGAUUCACUGUUUUUGGUGUUUCGGCGGGGGAUGGGCUCGCGGCCUAUCAGCUUGUUGGUGGGGUGAUGGCCUACCAAGGCGGUGACGGGUAGCCGGCCUGAGCGGGUGGGCGGCCACACUGGGACUGAGAUACGGCCCAGACUCCUGCGGGAGGCAGCAGUGGGGGGUAUUGCACAAUGGGCGGAAGCCUGAUGCAGCGACGUCGCGUGAGGGAUGGAGGCCUUCGGGUUGUGAACCUCUGUUUCCGGUGGUGAAGGCCCUGUCCGUGUGGUGGGGUUGACGGUAGCCGGGGAUGAAGCGCCGGCUAACUACGUG